rnacentral:rRNA from 1 species
GAUGAACGCUGGCGGCGUGCCUAAUACAUGCAAGUCGAGCGAACGGACGAGAAGCUUGCUUCUCUGAUGUUAGCGGCGGACGGGUGAGUAACACGUGGAUAACCUACCUAUAAGACUGGGAUAACUUCGGGAAACCGGAGCUAAUCCCGGAUGAUAUUUUGAACCGCAUGGUUCAAAAGUGAAAGACGGUCUUGCUGUCACUUAUAGAUGGAUACGCGCUGCAUUAGCUAGUUGGUAAGGUAACGGCUUACCAAGGCAACGAUGCGUAGCCGAACGGAGAGAGUGAUCGGCCACCCUGGAACUGGGACACGGUCCAGACUCCUGCGAGAGGCAGCAGUAGGGUAUCUUCCGCAAUGGGCGGAAGCCUGACGGAGCAACGCCGCGUGAGUGAUGAAGGUCUUCGGAUCGUAAAACUCUGUUAUGAGGGAAGAACAUAUGUGUAAGUAACUGUGCACAUCUUGACGGUACCUAAUCAGAAAGCCACGGCUAACUACGUG